rnacentral:rRNA from 1 species
GAUGAACGCUGGCGGCGUGCUUAACACAUGCAAGUCGAACGGAGAAAGGGUAGCUUGCUAUCUUUUUCUUAGUGGCGGACGGGUGAGUAACGCGUGGGUAACCUGCCCUUUGCAGGGGGGAUAACAGUGAGAAAUCACUGCUAAUACCGCAUACCAACUUCUUUCGCAUGAAGGAAGUUUGAAAGAUUUAUCGGCAAAGGAUGGACCCGCGUUGGAUUAGCUAGUUGGUGAGAUAACAGCCCACCAAGGCAACGAUCCAUAGCCGGCCUGAGAGGGUGAACGGCCACACUGGGACUGAGACACGGCCCAGACUCCUACGGGAGGCAGCAGUGGGGAAUAUUGCACAAUGGGCGAAAGCCUGAUGCAGCGACGCCGCGUGAAGGAUGAAGGUCUUCGGAUUGUAAACUUCUAAUCAGCAGGGAAGAAAGGGCUUAUAGCCUAUGACGGUACCUGACUAAGAAGCCCCGGCUAACUACGUGCCAGCAGCCGCGGUAAAGCUAACGU